CCUACGGGAGGCAGCAGUGGGGAAUAUUGGACAAUGGGCGAAAGCCUGAUCCAGCAAUGCCGCGUGAGUGAUGAAGGCCUUAGGGUUGUAAAGCUCUUUUACCAGGGAUGAUAAUGACAGUACCUGGAGAAUAAGCUCCGGCUAACUCCGUGCCAGCAGCCGCGGUAAUACGGAGGGAGCUAGCGUUGUUCGGAAUUACUGGGCGUAAAGCGUACGUAGGCGGUUAUUCAAGUCAGAGGUGAAAGCCUGGAGCUCAACUCCAGAACUGCCUUUGAAACUAGAUAGCUAGAAUCUUGGAGAGGUGAGUGGAAUUCCGAGUGUAGAGGUGAAAUUCGUAGAUAUUCGGAAGAACACCAGUGGCGAAGGCGACUCACUGGACAAGUAUUGACGCUGAGGUACGAAAGCGUGGGGAGCAAACAGGAUUAGAUACCCUGGUAGUCCACGCCGUAAACGAUGAUAACUAGCUGUUCGGGCUCUACGAGCUUGAGUGGCGCAGACUACGACAUUAAGUUAGUCCGUCCGUCGGGAGGUACGGUCGCGAAGAAUUAAAACGUUAAAUUAAGUAAGUUAGUACGGUACGUGAGACGUAGACCGACGGACGACGACGAGGGAGGUUAGG
rnacentral:rRNA from 1 species